GUGCCAGCAGCCGCGGUAAUACGUAGGGUGCAAGCGUUAAUCGGAAUUACUGGGCGUAAAGCGUGCGCAGGCGGUUUUGUAAGUCUGUCGUGAAAGCCCCGGGCUCAACCUGGGAAUUGCGAUGGAGACUGCAAGGCUUGAAUCUGGCAGAGGGGGGUAGAAUUCCACGUGUAGCAGUGAAAUGCGUAGAGAUGUGGAGGAACACCGAUGGCGAAGGCAGCCCCCUGGGUCAAGAUUGACGCUCAUGCACGAAAGCGUGGGGAGCAAACAGGAUUAGAU
rnacentral:rRNA from 1 species